rnacentral:rRNA from 1 species
CCGAGUCUUAAUUGGGCGUUAAGUUGCAGGGUAUAGACCCGAAACCCGGUGAUCUAGCCAUGGGCAGGUUGAAGGUUGGGUAACACUAACUGGAGGACCGAACCGACUAAUGUUGAAAAAUUAGCGGAUGACCUGUGGCUGGGGGUGAAAGGCCAAUCAAACCGGGAGAUAGCUGGUUCUCCCCGAAAGCUAUUUAGGUAGCGCCUCGUGAAUUCAUCUCCGGGGGUAGAGCACUGUUUCGGCUAGGGGGCCAUCCCGGCUUACCAACCCGAUGCAAACUGCGAAUACCGGAGAAUGUUAUCACGGGAGACACACGGCGGGUGCUAACGUCCGUCGUGAAGAGGGAAACAACCCAGACCGCCAGCUAAGGUCCCAAAGUCAUGGUUAAGUGGGAAACGAUGUGGGAAGGCCCAGACAGCCAGGAUGUUGGCUUAGAAGCAGCCAUCAUUUAAAGAAAGCGUAAUAGCUCACUGGUCGAGUCGGCCUGCGCGGAAGAUGUAACGGGGCUAAACCAUGCACCGAAGCUGCGGCAGCGACACUGUGUGUUGUUGGGUAGGGGAGCGUUCUGUAAGCCUGUGAAGGUGUGUCGUGAGGC